rnacentral:rRNA from 1 species
CGUAGGUGGCAAGCGUUGUCCGGAUUUAUUGGGUUUAAAGGGUGCGUAGGCGGUCUUGUAAGUCAGUGGUGAAAUACGGCAGCUUAACUGUCGAGGUGCCAUUGAUACUGCAGGACUUGAGUACAGACGAGGUAGGCGGAAUUGACGGUGUAGCGGUGAAAUGCUUAGAUAUCGUCAAGAACACCGAUAGCGAAGGCAGCUUACUAGACUGUAACUGACGCCUGAUGCACGAAAGUGUGGGGAUCAAACAGGAUUAGAUACCCUGGUAGUCCACACUGUAAACGAUGAUUACUCGAUGUUGGCGAUACACAGCCAGCGUCUUAGCGAAAGCGAUAAGUAAUCCACCUGGGGAGUACGCCGGCAACGGUG